CUGCAACCAGCUCAGUGCUUGAGUUCUGGCUUUCCUUCCAGAACUUGAUUCCCCCUCAGACUCUGGGUUCUCAGCUGGGCCAGGCAGUUCUGAAGGUGGGGGCUGCACAACCAACCACACUUCUUUAACAAGGCAGGAGGACCUCAGAGGCCCCUCCCUCAGGAACGGAAAUGGAGCUAACUUUCUCUGAGCUUAGGAUUUGUAAGGCACUGAAAUUAACUAGAGCCGGGGGAGUGGGAACGAAAUGGGAGAGGGGGAUGAGUGACCCUGGAUGCUUUCUCUCCAACCCCAGGGAGGGUCCUCACAGUAACAACAGGGCGGUUGCCCCUUUCUCACUCAGUGUGGGAACCACCCCUAGGUGACACAGUCAUGAGCAUGUGCCCCCAUUGUGACUCAGUGGACUCUAGAGGAGGCCUGGAUGCCGGAAGUCAAGAAAGGAAAGCCCAGGAAGGCUAGGCUUCCCAUCUUGAGAUGUCUUCCAGGAACAGUCUUGAGUGGGCUCAGUGAUGGCUGGGGUGGCCCGAGGGCCUGAGCACACAAGUAGGGGCAGGACGGUCCGAAGAUGGCAGAGAGCACUUUGGAGCAGACCUGGCUUUGGCACAGCACAUCCUGGGCCUGCCUGCCAAUCAGAUGACCCUCAAUCCCCGAGACCCAGGGGAAGGCCCUCUUGGGGCUGAUGCAGGUUAUGCAGGGAGGAAGGUGAAGAAGACAGCCAAUGAGAAGGAUGGUGCCUUGAGAAAGCCUGCAUUCUGAGAUUGUGUGUGUGUUCCUUACCAGAAAGGUCUCAGCUUCCAUAACUUCUUUAACUCCUCCUAGCUGGGUGUUCCACCCACUUCCCCACACGACAGGGACACCCAGAAUUGGGUCCUUUCUCAGAAACUACCCGUGGGAGAAGGAAGUUGCUUCAUUGAUGAGGAAGGGAGAAAGGCCUGGUCUGGGGCAGAGGUGUGGGCAAAGUCCAUGGAUCUCAAGGGGCACACUAUUCUGAAGUCAACCCUUCUUGGAGCUCCUGCGGGCCAGCUGAAACCUUCCUUGUGAAGGUUUCCACAGCGAAGCCUCUCCUGCUGCCGUUUCCCUACUGCCCUGCAUUUCUAAGGCCCCAGUGUAAACUCCAGGUCUGACACUGAUACACUGGCUGAGUCGGGCUUCCCUGACAUGAGUGUGCAUCGUCACACACUGCCAAAACCGAGAAAAGCCACGUGCAGGACGGGAGAAAUACUGUGAAUCAUGAAUCUGCUA
rnacentral:lncRNA from 1 species